ensembl:lncRNA
CACUGGUAGAGAUCUCAUAAUACCAAAAUUGCAAGAAAAAAAUCACCACAUAACCAGGAGGAUAAAAGAAAAAAUGGAAAUCAGGAUGGGGCCUGCAUCCCUGGGAGGGAGCUGUGAAAAAGUUCCCUCAAACUGGGAAACCUUUUCAUCAGCAGGGAGAUCAGCUAGGACAGAAAAAGAGCUUCAGAGGCUCAGAGGAAAGCAGAGCAGCCAGCUCUUAGCAGUCAGAACAGACAGACCAGCACAGAGGGUCCUGACCACCUUCUUACACUCCUCAGACACAAGUCUACUGGUGUGCCUGGCAUAGCUGAGUGCUGAAAAUCAGGCUUCAGACAACAGACCUAGACAAAGGACUCUGGUUAGCUAUGCGGAGACAACCAGAGGGGUUGGAGUGAGGUCCAAGCCAUAACCAGGGGUGUGUACAGGAGGAGUCCGGAUCCGCCAUUAAACUUCAUCGUUAAGGAAAGGAGGGGUUGGGACCCCUGCCACAGCAGCCUCAUGCACAGCAUGCUCACAAAGGCACAGCUCCACCUCUUUGCCCACAUUCAAAGGCAAGGCUGAAAUCUGAGCCACUCCCCAGGGACUGCACAUUGGAAGCAGGGCUGAAAUCUGAGUGUUCCAGCAGCUACAGCUUUGUAAACUCAGUGCCUGUGGCAGUGUUUUACAGGUGAGCCUGUUGCUGGGGCAGGUCCAGCAAUAGUGUCUGCCACCUUUUGCUAUAAGGAGCACACUGACGGGAGGAAAGGGUCUGGGCUGACGAAGCGGCUCCCAUGGCAGACCUAGGCACAUGACUAAUGGAUGUCCCAAAUUCUGACCUCAGCCAUUUUGUGCAACCAGAUUUGCACUAGAGACUUUGUGAGCACAGUGCCCAAGGGAUACCUGGGCCAACUGUCUGAAUUCCCACAGCUGAGGAGGAGUCAAGGGCAGUGUUAAAAUCAUUGUACUUUGUGAGCCCACACAACAGGUGACAGGUGACACCAGAGUGCAUUUCCUGAUGGACAGCUUCUGCGGAGGAGUACUCAGUGGCUCCUCUCCCAGCAGAAGCACUCGAGCCCCACCUAUCUCACAUUGCAGUUUAGAAACAGAUCUGAGCGUGUCUACUCCAAAACUGGGGAGCAGGCCCUGACCUCAACAGCAAUGUGACAACCACAGAGCAAAGAGAAGGACCCUCAAUGUCCAGCACAGGCUCUGACCACCACAAAACCAGUUACACCCACUAUUAAGAAAAGGAAAGCACACUUUUAAGAAAGACAUGGCAGGUAUCUAUACUAAACAUCCCUCACAACAAAAAUAUUAGACUCACACAGGCUACACAGGGACACUUCCACAUAAAAACACCCCACUAAGAUGACAGUAGACAACUGUUUCUCCUAAACUCACAUAGGCAGAGAAAUAUAAGUAAAAUAAAGAAGCAGAGAAACCACUCCCAGAUAAAAGACCAAGAGAAUUCCCCUGAAAGAAUAAAUGAUGAAACAGACCUCUCCAGUCUAANNNNNNNNNNNNNNNNNNNNNNNGCAAUGGAAAUAUUGAAGAGAUUAAGAAUGGCUACUAACAGAAAUACAAAUUACUGUAAAAAGGAACUAGAAAUUAUAAGGAGGAGCCAAGAAAAAUUAGAAAAUUCAUUUGCUGAGACAAAAGCUGAACUAAAGGCAACAAGUAGCAGAAUGAAUAACACAGAAGAAAGAUAAGUGAUCUGGAAGAUAGAAUAAUGGAAAUUAUCCAAUCAAGACAGCAGAAAGACAAAUUAAAAAAAAAAGCAACAGAUGGUGCUUUUGAGAUAAUAUAAAGUGUUUCAAUCCACACUUCAUAGGGAUCUCAGAAGGAAAAGAAAGAGGGGACCAAAAAUGUAUUUGAAGAAAUUAUGGCUGAAAAAUUCCCAAACCCAAAGAAGGAAACAAAUGAUCCAAAUGAAACAAAACAAAGCACAGAGGAUCCCAAAGAAUAUGAACCCAAACAGACCUAUGCCAAGACAUAAUUAAAAUGGCAAAAGUUAAAAUAAGGAGAGGAUAAUAAAGGCAGCAAGGGAAAAACAAAGAGUUAAUUACAAGGCUAUUAGCUGAUUUCUCUACAGAAACAGCCCAGAAGGGAGUGGCAAGAUAUAUUCAAACUCUUAAAAGGAAAAAACUUGCAACCUAGGACACUUUACCCAGCAAGAUUAUCAUUUAAAAUAGAAGGAUAAUGAAGAAUUUCUCUGAAAAGCAAAAACUAAAAGAAUUCAGCAAUACUAAACCUAUUCUUAAAAAAUAUAUAUUGAAAGCUAUUCUCUAAAUAGUAAAGCAGCAAGACUCUAGAGGAAAGAGAAAAUCACAAUCAGAAAGUAAAUCACUCAAAUAAGUCAUUACAUAGAUUUUUUAAAAAAAAUAAAAUUAUAAAGCAAACAAUCCAACAACACAUAAAAAAGAUCAUACACCACAGUCAAGUUGGAUAAAUCCCAGGGUCAUAAGAACAGUACACACAUGCAAAUCAAUCAUUGUGAUAACUAUGUCAACAAAUGAAAAAACAAAAACUACAUGAUCAUUUCAAAAGAUGCAAAAAACUACUUGAUAAAAUUGAAGACCCAUUCAAGAUAAAAAUUCUUAUCAA